AAUAUGUGAAAAUGGGGGCAACCCUGAUCCAGCCAUGCCGCGUGUGUGAAGAAGGUCUUCGGAUUGUAAGGCACUUUAAGUUGGGAGGAAGGGUUUUAGGCUAAUACCCUGAAUUUUUGACGUUACCAACAGAAUAAGCACCGGCAACCUCUGUGCCAGCAGCCGCGGUAAUACAGAGGGUGCAAGCGUUAAUCGGAAUUACUGGGCGUAAAGCGCGCGUAGGUGGUUCAGUAAGAUGGGUGUGAAAUCCCCGGGCUUAACCUGGGAACUGCUUUCAUAACUGCUGAGCUAGAGUACGGUAGAGGGUAGUGGAAUUUCCUGUGUAGCGGUGAAAUGCGUAGAUAUAGGAAGGAACACCAGUGGUGAAGGCGACUACCUGGACUGAUACUGACACUGAGGUGCGAAAGCGUGGGGAGCAAAC
rnacentral:rRNA from 1 species